rnacentral:pre_miRNA from 12 species
AAUAGAAUGAAGGAGCUUCCUUCUGCCCAACCAUGGAUAUAUGUGAGGGAAGCCUUUGUUGCAAAAAUAAACUAUUAUUCAUUCAUUCAUAUAUAAUUAUGUGAAUGAAGUGGAAGAUGUAUAUUUUGCAGCCUUCUUUGGCUAUGUUUGGACUGAAGGGAGCUCCUUCUUUCUGUUGC